rnacentral:misc_RNA from 1 species
AAAGAUCACAUUACCUAGCAAGCUAUGGAACUACCAAGUACAGUAUGCUCUUGUGGUUUCUUUUCUUCUUCGGGGUGGAACUGAUCAUACUGUCAGAUCUUCUCCUACUGAAAGGAUCCUUCUUUUCCCUGUUGACAAGACAAGGAUAGUCUGGUUGAACAACCCUCCACUUACAAUCAUGAGAUUGGGUGUUUGAUUCUGCAAGGGCAAAUAUAAAGCCACUAUUG